UACGGAGGGGGCUAGCGUUGUUCGGAAUUACUGGGCGUAAAGCGCACGUAGGCGGACGCUUAAGUCAGGGGUGAAAUCCCGGGGCUCAACCCCGGAACUGCGUUUGAUACUGGGUGUCUGGAGGUCGAGAGAGGUGAGUGGAAUUCCGAGUGUAGAGGUGAAAUUCGUAGAUAUUCGGAGGAACACCAGUGGCGAAGGCGGCUCGCUGGCACGAUACUGACGCUGAGGUGCGAAAGCGUGGGGAGCAAACAGG
rnacentral:rRNA from 1 species